rnacentral:rRNA from 1 species
GUGCAUUGCAGAAUCCCGUGAACCAUCGAGUCUUUGAACGCAAGUUGCGCCCGAAGCCAUUAGGUUGAGGGCACGCCUGCCUGGGUGUCACACAUCGUUACCCUAAAGCAAACGCCUCAUGUGCGUGUGCAGGGUGGAAGCUGACCUCCCGUGGGCCACGACUCGCGGCUGGUUCAAAAUGGAGUUCAUGGUCGAGAAUGCCGUGAUAAAAUGGUGGAUGAGCGUUGCUCGAGACCAAUCGCGUGCAACUCGGUCGAUUUUGGAUUCUUCGACCCAAUUGCGUCCAUGGACGCCCCCAACGAGACCUCAGGUCAGGCGGGGCCACCCCCCGGAGUUUAAGCAUAUCAAUAAGCGGAGGAAAAAG